GCAAGUCGAGCGGAAACGAGAAGUGCUUGCACUUCGGCGUCGAGCGGCGGACGGGUGAGUAAUGCUUGGGAAUAUGCCUUUUGGUGGGGGACAACAGUUGGAAACGACUGCUAAUACCGCAUAAUGUUUACGGACCAAAGCGGGGGACCUUCGGGCCUCGUGCCAAAAGAUUAGCCCAAGUGAGAUUAGCUAGUUGGUGGGGUAAAGGCCUACCAAGGCAACGAUCUCUAGCUGGUUUGAGAGGAUGAUC
rnacentral:rRNA from 1 species